UUAAGCAAAAAAGAGCACAGGGCGGAUGCCCUGGCACUGGGAGCCGAUGAAAGACGCGACAAGCUGCGAAAAGCUGCGGGGAGCGGCAGAUACGCUAAGAUCCGCAGGUGUCUGAAUGGGGAAACCCACGCAGGGAAAGCCUGCGUAUCCGUACCUGAAUCCAUAGGGUGCGGAGGGGAACCCGGCGAACUGAAACAUCUAAGUAGCCGGAGGAAAAGAAAACAAAAGUGAUUUCCAGAGUAGCGGCGAGCGGAAUGGAAAGAGCCCAAACCGGAGUGCGAGCACACCGGGGUUAGGACUGCAGAAAUGACCUGCAACUGCAGCGGAACGGUCCUGGAAAGACCGGCCGUAGAGGGUGAGAGCCCCGUAAGCGAAGCGGGAGCAGGCAUGGCAGGAUCCAGAGUACUGCGAGACACGAGAAACCUUGCAGGAAUGAGCGGGGACCACCCCGUAAGGCUAAAUACUACCCAGUGACCGAUAGAGCAGAGUACUGUGAAGGAAAGGUGAAAAGGACCCCGGGAGGGGAGUGAAAGAGAACCUGAAACCCUGUGUUUACAAGCUGUGGAAGCACCGCAGGAGUGCGACCGCGUACUUUUUGUAGAACGGUCCGGCGAGCUGCGGGGGCCGGCGAGGUUAAGCCACCAGGUGGCGGAGCCGUAGUGAAAGCGAGCGUAAAGAGCGCGCCAUAGUCGGUUCCCGCAAGCCCGAAACCGGGUGAUCUAUCCAUGUCCAGGCUGAAGCCGCUGUAAAAGGCGGUGGAGGGCCGCACCCACAUCCGUUGAAAAGGGUGGGGAUGAGGUGUGGAUAGGGGAGAAAUUCCAAUCGAACCCGGAGAUAGCUGGUUCUCCCCGAAACAGCUUUAGGGCUGGCCCCGUAUAUGCCUUGUGGAGGUAGAGCACUGAAUUUCCUAGGGGGCGUCAAAGCCUACCGAAGAAUAUCAAACUCCGAAUGCCAUGAAGGAAGAGUACGGGAGUCAGACCGCACGAGAUAAGUCGGGCGGUCAAAAGGGAAAGAGCCCAGACCCGCGGCUAAGGCCCCAGAGUGCGUGUUAAGUGGAAAAGGAUGUGGGAUUUCAAAGACAGCUAGGAUGUUGGCUCAGAAGCAGCCACACAUUCAAAGAGUGCGUAAUAGCUCACUAGCCGAGAGGUCCUGCGCCGAAAAUGUCCGGGGCUGAAACACGCCGCCGAAGCCCGGGAAUGUACAUUAUUGUACAUUGGUAGGGGAGCAUUGCCGGCGCACGGAAGCCGUACCGAAAGGGGCGGUGGAGCGCCGGGAAGAGAGAAUGCCGGAAUGAGUAGCGAGAUGGAGGUGGGAAUCCUCCAGGCCGAAUAUCCAAGGAUUCCGGGGUAAAGCUGAUCUGCCCCGGGUAAGUCGGGACCUAAGGCGAGGCCGGAAGGCGUAGCCGAUGGACAACAGGUGGAGAUUCCUGUACUGCGCCAUGACAGAACUGUGGGGACGCAUGUGGAAAGAGGCAGCCGGGAAAGGGAAGACCGGUACAAGCGCAGGAGGAGGCGUGCAGGAAAAGCCGCACGCCGAUCCAGUGGCGUGACGUGGAGCGGAAAGAAGUAGCGAAGGCCGCGGACCAUGUGCCAGGAAAAGCCGCUAUCGUUCAUGGGGCACCCGUACCGUAAACCGACACAGGUGGAUGGGGAGAGGAUCCCAAGGCCGGCGGGAGAAGCAUUGCCAAGGAACUCGGCAAAAUGGCCCCGUAACUUCGGGAGAAGGGGCGCCUGCCUAAAAGCAGGCCGCAGAGAAAAGGCUCAAGCAACUGUUUAGCAAAAACACAGGUCUAUGCAAAACCGGAAGGUGAAGUAUAUGGGCUGACGCCUGCCCGGUGCUGGAAGGUUAAGAGGAGGGGUCAGGAAACGAAGCCCUGAAUCCAAGCCCCAGUAAACGGCGGCCGUAACUAUAACGGUCCUAAGGUAGCGAAAUUCCUUGUCGGGU
rnacentral:rRNA from 1 species